rnacentral:rRNA from 1 species
ACACAGGUGCUGCAUGGCUGUCGUCAGCUCGUGUACUGAGAUGUUGGGUUAAGUCCCGCAACGAGCGCAACCCUGGUCGUUAGUCGCCAUCAUUAAUUUGGGCACUUUAACGAGACUGCCGGUGACAAACCGGAGGAAGGUGGGGAUGACGUCAAGUCCUCAUGGCCCUUAUGGCUAGUGCUUCACACGUCAUACAAUGGUCGGUACAGAGGGUUGUCAAGCCGCGAGGUGGAGCUAAUCUCUUAAGGCCGAUCGUAGUCCGGAUUGCACUCUGCAACUCGAGUGCAUGAAGUCGGAAUCGCUAGUAAUCGCAGGUCAGCAUACUGCGGUGAAUACGUUCCCGGGCCUUGUACACACCGCCCGUCACACCAUGGGAGUGGGGGAUACCAGAAGUGGGUAGGCUAACCGCAAGGAGGCCGCUUACCACGGUAUGCUUCAUGACUGGGGUGAAGUCGUAACAAGGUAGCCGUAGGGGAACCUGCGGCUGGA